UGUCUAAAAGAAAAUAAAAAAUGCGUUAUUUAGUUGUAUAAUACAUUUAUAAGAAAUAUUCUUUUUCUUUGUAUCUAGCCACGAUUUCCGGUUCCCGCCAUUUCGCGCCGGCGUCGUGGGUGUUCGGAUGCAGCGUAGUGCUCCCGGUUUUAUUUUGUUUAAGCGACCUUUUCUGAAGUGUCAACCAAGGAUCAAACACUGGUCGUUGCGGGGAUCGGCUUCAGAGGGUCAAGGAUGGCAUCUUGAAUCGCUGUUCAGUCGACAGGCAACUGUAUGACAACGCCACCCCUGUCAACCAGAGCGUCGACCGAAGUAGGGCGGCGUUGCGCGGACCUGGCCGCACCCGACCAACCGGUGGAGUACCUGACUCGGGCUGGGCGGAGACUACCUACAUCACGACCUUUUGAACUUUGAUCUCGUGACGAGAAACAAGAUGACGUAAGGAAGUGUGUAUGUGGCUGGCGGGGCCGAGGGUGAAAUGCGCCACGUGUUUAUCCUGCCGGAUGACGACAGCGUCACCAACCUGUCAAAGAACGAGCUGGUGCAGCGCGUGAUGACUGCCAUCUCGUCCCUAGAACCGGAGCAGAAAAACGUGCGCAUAGCCCAAAUGAAGCGAACCAAAACACAGACAGGACUGAUAGCUUUUCGGUCGAGAAUGUUCUGAAGAUGCUCAUCAGUAGACCAAUUGGUGACCGUUUUCGGCGGUAAUAUGGGAUCUUGUGGUGUUCCAAAGCGACCUGCUUUGGGUGUGGACAUAAGUGGCUCAACCUGACAGGAUUGAUGUUUUAGGUAGCCGUGCUAAUCAUAAAUCCUAUAUUGAGUGUAUCUGUACAAAUUUUGUUUAUAUUUAUUUCAUGUAUUUGAUUCGAAACCGAAAAUUGCUCUUUGUAAUUAGGCAACAUCGAGACGUUGAGGUCAUUCUCCAGACGUUUAUUUGUUUUUUCUUACCUGUCCACGGUA